rnacentral:lncRNA from 1 species
CAAUCACAAAAUUUUACCCACACCCAAAUACCACACUACCGCUGCUGACAACCAAAUCGACUCCAAAUUGUGCCGCCGCCGAAAUCUAGACACCACCGUCUGCACCACCGCCAUCGCUUCCGAUAGCUGCCAAAAAUUUCAGCAUCACCCUCCUCCAUGUUUUCUUCUUUCUCUCUUAAGAAGUGUAGCGUACAAAUUUCAUCAUUGCUUAGAUCGUGAUUUGAUUAGUUUGUCAAGUUUAAUUUAUACAAUGUAAGGAGUUUUAUGAGGUUUUAUAACGAUCUUGGUUUUAUUGUGUUGAGAAACUCAAAGUCACUUUUAUUUUUCUUGAUAAACCCCUUUUCUCCAACUUGAGUCUUUUUCUUAUUUCUAUAAGUAGUUGGGUACUGUUUUUUUCUAAAUUUGCAAUCCAAAUAACUGA